UGGGUUGUGGCUCAGUAGUAAAGCGCUUGCCUCGCAUGUGUGAGGCACUGGGUUCGAUUCUCAGCACCACAU
rfam:Ictidomys tridecemlineatus contig002313, whole genome shotgun sequence.